AUAUGGAUAACUGUAGUAAUUCUAGAGCUAAUACAUGCGCAAAGGCCUGACUUUUCGGAAAGGCUGUGUUUAUUAGAUACAGAGCCAACCUGGUCCCCGACCAGAGUUUUUGGUGAUUCAUGAUAACUGUGCGAAUCGUAUGGCUUAGCCGACGAUGCAUCAUUCAAGUUUCUGACCUAUCAGCUUUCGAUGGUAGGGUAUUGGCCUACCAUGGCGUUGACGGGUAACGGAGAAUUAGGGUUCGAUUCCGGAGAGGGAGCCUGAGAAACGGCUACCACAUCUAAGGAAGGCAGCAGGCGCGCAAAUUACCCAAUCCUGACACAGGGAGGUAGUGACAAGAAAUAACAAUACAGGGCAUUUUGUCUUGUAAUUGGAAUGAGUAGGGUUUAAAACCUCCUACGAAUUCAAUUGGAGGGCAAGUCUGGUGCCAGCAGCCGCGGUAAUUCCAGCUCCAAUAGCGUAUAUUAAAGUUGUUGCGGUUAAAAAGCUCGUAGUUGGAUUUCUGCUGAGAACGACCGGUCCUGCCUCGUGUAGCGAUCUGGUUGCUUCGACGCAUCUUUGGUGUGAGGGUACGCGACUAAAACUCGCUGCACGAACUCCAGAGCAUUUACUUUGAGGAAAUUAGAGUGUUUCAAACAGGCGUCUGCCUUGAAUACAUUAGCAUGGAAUAAUAGGAUAGGACUUCAGUCCUAUUUUGUUGGUUCUUGGGACUGUAGUAAUGAUUAAUAGGGACAGUCGGGGCAUUCGUACUUAACAGUCAGAGGUGGAAUUCUUGGAUUUGUUAAAGACGAACUACUGCGAAAGCAUUUGCCAAGGAUGUUUUCAUUGAUCAAGAACGAAAGUUAGGGGAUCGAAGAUGAUUAGAUACCGUCGUAGUCCUAACCAUAAACCAUGCCGACUAGGGAUUGGAGAACGUUGCUUCGUCACGUCUUCAGAAUCUCGUGAGAAAUCUAAAGUCUAUGGGUUCCGGGGGGAGUAUGGUCGCAAGGCUGAAACUUAAAGGAAUUGACGGAAGGGCACCACCAGGAGUGGAGCCUGCGGCUUAAUUUGACACAACACGGGAAACCUUACCAGGUCCAGACAUAGUAAGGAUUGACAGAUUGAUAGCUCUUUCUUGAUCCUUUGGGUGGUGGUGCAUGGCCGUUCUUAGUUGGUGGAGUGAUCUGUCUGGUUAAUUCCGUUAACGAACGAGACCUUGGCCUACUAAUUAGCUAGCGUCUAGUUCCACUAGAGCGUUAGUUUCUUAGGGGGACUUUG
rnacentral:rRNA from 1 species